GAGGAUGUAGCUCAGUGGUAGAGCGCUGGCUUAGUGAGCACGAGGUCCUGAGUUCAAUCCCCAGUGCCUCCG
rnacentral:tRNA from 1 species